rnacentral:rRNA from 1 species
UACGGGGGGGGGCAAGCGUUGUUCGGAAUUACUGGGCGUAAAGGGCUCGUAGGCGGCCAACUAAGUCAGACGUGAAAUCCCUCAGCUUAACUGGGGAACUGCGUCUGAUACUGGAUGGCUAGAGUGUGGGAGAGGGAUGCGGAAUUCCAGGUGUAGCGGUGAAAUGCGUAGAUAUCUGGAGGAACACCGGUGGCGAAGGCGGCAUCCUGGACCACGACUGACGCUGAGUGAGCGAAAGCCAGGGGAGCAAACGGG